rnacentral:rRNA from 1 species
AACCUCCGCAAUGUACGAAAGUGCGACGGGGGGAUCCCAAGUGUUAUGCUUUUUUGUAUAACUUUUCAUUAGUGUAAAAAGCUUUUAGAAUAAGAGCUGGGCAAGACCGGUGCCAGCCGCCGCGGUAACACCGGCAGCUCGAGUGGUAGCUGUUUUUAUUGGGCCUAAAGCGUUCGUAGCCGGUUUGAUAAGUCUUUGGUGAAAGCUUGUAGCUUAACUAUAAGAAUUGCUGGAGAUACUAUUAGACUUGAGACCGGGAGAGGUUAGAGGUACUCCCAGGGUAGAGGUGAAAUUCUGUAAUCCUGGGAGGACCGCCUGUUGCGAAGGCGUCUAACUGGAACGGUUCUGACGGUGAGGGACGAAAGUUAGGGGCGCGAACCGGAUUAGAUACCCGGGUAGUCCUAACUGUAAACGAUGCGGACUUGGUGUUGGGGUGGCUUUGAGCUGCUUCAGUGCCGAAGGGAAGCUGUUAAGUCCGCCGCCUGGGAAGUACGGUCGCAAGACUGAAACUUAAAGGAAUU